rnacentral:rRNA from 1 species
GUUGAGCUGGCUCUUGUAGGGCAUGUGCUCGCCGACUUUCAAUAUUCAUCCACCUGUGAACCUUUUGUAGCAGAUUCUGGAAUAGGGAGGCGCUUGCGUUUCUCUUAGUACGGAGUCUACUAUGUUUGUUUUUUAACACACUUAAUGUAUGUUUAGAAUGUAUUUUAUUGGGACUUAAUUGACCCUUUAAAACUAUACAACUUUCAGCAACGGAUCUCUUGGCUCUCGCAUCGAUGAAGAACGCAGCGAAAUGCGAUAAGUAAUGUGAAUUGCAGAAUUCAGUGAAUCAUCGAAUCUUUGAACGCACCUUGCGCCUCUUGGUAUUCCGAGAGGCAUGCCUGUUUGAGUGUCAUUAAAUUAUCAACCUUGAAUGACUUGUCAUUUCAGGAUUGGAUGUGAGGGCUGCCGGCUUUGAACAAGAGUCGGCUCUCUUGAAAUGCAUUAGUGGAAACCGCUAUAGUGGACCACAUUGGUGUGAUAAUUAUCUACGCCAUUGGGUUUAUCUACGCUUUCGAAUGUUGGUGGCUCUUUAAUUAGGUCUCAACACUUCGGUUUGGAGG